GUGGGGAAUAUUGGGCAAUGGGGGCAACCCUGACCCAGCGACGCCGCGUGAGGGAAGAAGGCCUUAGGGUCGUAAACCUCUGUUGUGUGGGAAGAAGGAAGUGACGGUACCGGAAUAGAAAGCCACGGCUAACUACGUGCCAGCAGCCGCGGUAAUACGUAGGUGGCAAGCGUUGUCCGGAAUUAUUGGGCGUAAAGCGCGCGCAGGCGGAUCUGCCAGUCUGUCUUAAAAGUUCGGGGCUUAACCCCGUGAUGGGAUGGAAACUACAGAUCUAGAGUAUCGGAGAGGAAAGUGGAAUUCCUAGUGUAGCGGUGAAAUGCGUAGAUAUUAGGAAGAACACCAGUGGCGAAGGCGACUUUCUGGACGAAAACUGACGCUGAGGCGCGAAAGCCAGGGGAGCGAACGGGAUUAGAUACCCCGGUAGUCC
rnacentral:rRNA from 1 species